rnacentral:pre_miRNA from 1 species
UUAAAAAUCGUAAUUUUAGACUGAUAUUUUGCCUACAAUAUCAUGCAGAUAUAAAUUGAGCAUAUUGAGUAUUUAGGUAAGCAUAAUAUAUGUUUAGGGGUAAAUAGCAUAAUUAAGGACAAUUAAGCCAUUUACACCUAAACAUAAGCUAUACUUUCCUAAAUAUGGGAUAUAUAUGGACUGCUUGUAUGAUUUAUGGAUAUCACAAUAUCUUUGUAAUAUUGUAGGCAAGAGAUCAGCCUAAAACUUGACUACUCC